rnacentral:rRNA from 1 species
AGAGUUUGAUCCUGGCUCAGAACGAACGCUGGCGGCGUGCCUAAUACAUGCAAGUCGAGCGGACAGAAGGGAGCUUGCUCCCGGAUGUUAGCGGCGGACGGGUGAGUAAUGCAUAGGAAUCUGCCUGUAAGACUGGGAUAACUCCGGGAAACCGGAGCUAAUACCGGAUAGUUCCUUGAACCGCAUGGUUCAAGGAUGAAAGACGGUUUCGGCUGUCACUUACAGAUGGACCCGCGGCGCAUUAGCUAGUUGGUGGGGUAAUGGCUCACCAAGGCGACGAUGCGUAGCCGACCUGAGAGGGUGAUCGGCCACACUGGGACUGAGACACGGCCCGAACUCCUACGGGAGGCAGCAGUGGGGAAUCUUCCGCAAUGGACGAAAGUCUGACGGAGCAACGCCGCGUGAGUGAUGAAGGUUUUCGGAUCGUAAAGCUCUGUUGUUAGGGAAGAACAAGUGCGAGAGUAACUGCUCGCACCUUGACGGUACCUAACCAGAAAGCCACGGCUAACUACGUGCCAGCAGCCGCGGUAAUACGUAGGUGGCAAGCGUUGUCCGGAAUUAUUGGGCGUAAAGGGCUCGCAGGCGGUUUCUUAAGUCUGAUGUGAAAGCCCCCGGCUCAACCGGGGAGGGUCAUUGGAAACUGGGAAACUUGAGUGCAGAAGAGGAGAGUGGAAUUCCACGUGUAGCGGUGAAAUGCGUAGAGAUGUGGAGGAACACCAGUGGCGAAGGCGACUCUCUGGUCUGUAACUGACGCUGAGGAGCGAAAGCGUGGGGAGCGAACAGGAUUAGAUACCCUGGUAGUCCACGCCGUAAACGAUGAGUGCUAAGUGUUAGGGGGUUUCCGCCCCUUAGUGCUGCAGCUAACGCAUUAAGCACUCCGCCUGGGGAGUACGGUCGCAAGACUGAAACUCAAAGGAAUUGACGGGGGCCCGCACAAGCGGUGGAGCAUGUGGUUUAAUUCGAAGCAACGCGAAGAACCUUACCAGGUCUUGACAUCCUCUGACAACCCUAGAGAUAGGGCUUUCCCUUCGGGGACAGAGUGACAGGUGGUGCAUGGUUGUCGUCAGCUCGUGUCGUGAGAUGUUGGAUUAAGUCCCGCAACGAGCGCAACCCUUGAUCUUAGUUGCCAGCAUUUAGUUGGGCACUCUAAGGUGACUGCCGGUGACAAACCGGAGGAAGGUGGGGAUGACGUCAAAUCAUCAUGCCCCUUAUGACCUGGGCUACACACGUGCUACAAUGGACAGAACAAAGGGCUGCGAGACCGCAAGGUUUAGCCAAUCCCACAAAUCUGUUCUCAGUUCGGAUCGCAGUCUGCAACUCGACUGCGUGAAGCUGGAAUCGCUAGUAAUCGCGGAUCAGCAUGCCGCGGUGAAUACGUUCCCGGGCCUUGUACACACCGCCCGUCACACCACGAGAGUUUGCAACACCCGAAGUCGGUGAGGUAACCUUUAUGGAGCCAGCCGCCGAAGGUGGGGCAGAUGAUUGGGGUGAAGUCGUAACAAGGUAACCGUA